rnacentral:rRNA from 1 species
AACGACUCUCGGCAACGGAUAUCUCGACUCUCGCAUCGAUGAAGAACGUAGCGAAAUGCGAUACUUGGUGUGAAUUGCAGAAUCCCGUGAACCAUCGAGUCUUUGAACGCAAGUUGCGCCCCAAGCCUUCUGGCCGAGGGCACGUCUGCCUGGGUGUCACGCA